rnacentral:rRNA from 1 species
UACGGGAGGCAGCAGUGGGGAAUAUUGGACAAUGGGGGGAACCCUGAUCCAGCCAUGCCGCGUGUGUGAAGAAGGCCUUUUGGUUGUAAAGCACUUUAAGCAGUGAAGAAGACUCUUCGGUUAAUACCCGGGACGAUGACAUAGCGCAGA